AUUGAACGCUGGCGGCAUGCCUUACACAUGCAAGUCGGACGGCAGCACGGGAGCAAUCCUGGUGGCGAGUGGCGAACGGGUGAGUAAUGUAUCGGAACGUACCAUUGAGUGGGGGAUAACGUAGCGAAAGUUACGCUAAUACCGCAUAUACCCUGAGGGGGAAAGCAGGGGAUCGCAAGACCUUGUGCUCUUUGAGCGGCCAAUAUCAGAUUAGCUAGUUGGUGAGGUAAAGGCUCACCAAGGCGACGAUCUGUAGCGGGUCUGAGAGGACGAUCCGGCACACUGGAACUGAGACACGGUCCAGACUCCUACGGGAGGCAGCAGUGGGGAAUUUUGGACAAUGGGGGCAACCCUGAUCCAGCCAUGCCGCGUGAGUGAAGAAGGCCUUCGGGUUGUAAAGCUCUUUCGGCCGGGAGGAAAUCGCAUCAGCUAAUACCUGGUGUGGAUGACAGUACCGGAAUAAGAAGCACCGGCUAACUACGUGCCAGCCGCCGCAGUAA
rnacentral:rRNA from 1 species